GAGGGCAAGGGACCCCACUCUCCCUCCUCCUGUCAUCCCUCCACCCCGCUGCCGCCAUCCGCGGGCCCAUCCAGACCCCAUCGCCGCAGUCACGGUUGUUCGGAUACUUAUACGUACACAUAAAGUUUUGUGGCCCCUCUUGUCGAUAUGCGGGAAUAGUAGCUGAGGUACUGAGUGAAAAGUUUAUGGGUUUAGUUUGCAUACCGAUGACCGAAUGGCAAAAAAUACAUUUCCCACUGAGUUUUUCGCUAUCUCUGGAGAGGAUUCUACCUCCAGGAAUGUCAGGAAGGGCUAGUAGUUUAUUCAUUUUUUAGAAAUUGGGAGGAUAGAGUUGGAAGUUCUUUUAUGAGGACACCGCCAUUUUUUAAUGCCUCUGCGAGAACAAGAUGGCGACAUUCACACCUACCGCGGUCCCUUGUUGUGAAUCCAUUAAAAUUAGUAAUCUGUCUCAAAUUCCCCUCUAACCUCUUUCAUUCUCGUCCUAGACUUUGAACGACUUUUUCUAGUGAUUUAGGUUCCAAAUUUUUUUAUUGAACGCCGACUUUUUCAUCCCUUUUUUGCAUCUGAACGAAGAUGUGCGUUCUACCUAACCUCAAAAAAGGUGCGUAACAAGGCGGGAGAUAUCUUUCAUCUAAAAUUAUUACAAGCAUACACGAUGUUUAAUCCCGCAAACACCUCGAGGGUAUUGUCGGUGCGAGUCGAAUUGGAUAGAGCUGGCGCGAGUCAAGAAGACGAUGAUACCCCUCCCGCCCUUCCGUUUAACGCAACUUUGCGUCUUGUGCCGCAAAUAGAAUAAUCGCUGUUCCCCCGUACGUUUAUGUACACACUUGAGUCUGAGUACAUCGUGGUGGAUAAGAGUCGAGAUUAAUUGGGGGUCCACUGCCGCGUCACGGAAGGAUAAAAGGUAGAAUGGAGAAACAAAAGGUCCGCCCGUCGGAAGGAGCCCAAAGUAGUGGAGAAAACGAGGGAGGCGACCCAGAGAUGCGGAUAAUAAAUGCUCUCGGCGGAACGAGUAGCAGUCGGGGGAUCUCCCCCUCCUGGAUGCGCCUUGUGCACGGGCCUAUGACUUGGGCCCGAGGAGACGCGUGGGGGGGAGCCGGGGUGAGGCCCAAUUAUACCAAGAAAAUACAGCCCAUAAAGACGGGCCUAACCGCCGCCAAACACUGGGGAUAUGAUAAUGAGUACCCUUUCUGCUGACUUCGUUUUGCAGUUCCAUUGGGAUGUAACAAAUGGAGGAGACGAUGUGGAUAUUCGUAUUUUGAAGAAUUUUGGCAGAAGGAGGGAUGCAAAUGAGGAAGGGGUGUGGACAGGAGGUAUUGCGUGCGAGUAGAAAAAUUUUGCUGCUGAAUUUUGUCGAGUAAAUAUGAGUUACUCAUUCAACGGAGAACUUGUGGAUAUUUUUUUCGAUUUCCAGAUCCCGUUUGCGAUCUGGGUAUUCGUUCGGUUUAUUUACGAUUUUUGUAAAUAUCGGUCAUCAAUGAAUUAGUCGUAGUGGCACGAAGAAGUUUUACAUUGUAGUUAAUUGUAAUAUUCAAAAUAAUAUUAAUGAAUUGUAUCCCAAUUUGGGAUAAUUAUAAUUCAUUAAUAUUUAUGUAAUUCGAUUAUUCUUCGGUUUCUCGCUUUUUUUUUGAAUAUCUUCGUAUUGAGAGCAAUUAUACAGAGACGGAUUAGUAUUUACGGUUGAAUUUCUCUGCAUAAGUCAUUUUCUUAUUCGGUUUAACUAUUUCUUCUGGAUUUAGCCGUGCGAUUUGGAACUGCAAUUUAUCAACAGUACUUAUAAAAUCCUGGACUUCGUCGGUGCAGGCCAGCGCUUGACCUUUAUACGUCUCUAGGCAGUUUGCCACCUGGAAUAAUUUCCAAGAGCACUUUUUCCCAGUGGAUUCGAUCAAGAACUCGAUUUGUUCGGAAUAAUUAAUUUUGUCUUACUUUAUUAAAAUUGAUGGGAGAAGUCUUCGACUCCUUCAUUCGCAGAUACUUCUGGAUAUUUUUUAUACACGUCUCGGCAUCGUCAAUGGUUAGACUGAGGCGGUCUGUGUGAGCGUGGUCCAUGCAAGACAAUUUCGUGUCCCAGUAAUUAUCGUAAUUCGUGUUUCGCUCCUCGUCGAUUUUACCUGGAAAACCAAGACAAAAUUUUAUUUCGAUUUUUUCACUGAAGAAAAUCAUUCUUUGAAGAUAAACAAUAAAAAUACUUCUGUUUGAUAUAGAGCAAGCAUUUGGCAAAAACAUUGAAUAGCAAAAAAAUGUUAGAAAUUAGAUUUCGUGUGGGUACCGAGAAUUAAAUUCAUUUGAUAAAUAAUCUACACAAUAAAAAUGAUUUCACAAAAUAUUUCUUCUUCGAAAUGAUUAUUUAAAAUAAGAAUCACUUUAUAUGUAAAAAAAUUGAAGAGAGAAGUAAUGUGUGUGCAUAACGCUAGCGGGGAAUGUCUGAAUAGAAAUUAUUCAGUUAUUCCAAUAAUUUAUAACUCCGUUGGCUUCAACGGCCAUUGAAAUCAAGAGCACGGAUAAUUGAAACGUAAAUUACCUGUUUGCAGCCGCUUGGCCAAAUCCUCGCCGAUCACGAGACCAUCGAACUCGGGCUUGGGCGGCUCUUUCCCUAAUUUAUUGGUGCACGCAGCCUCGUCUUCGUUCAUUUUUGCUUUUCGUUCACAUCGCAUAAUUUUGAUUGAGAAAAUAGAAAAUUACAGACGGGAAUUUUGGUCCGAAGGACAUUAUGGAUAACAUGUGACUGCGACAGCUGUGAAACUCUUUUGUUCGAAAAAAUGGGUUUAAAUCAAAUUGGGUUCGGUUCAUAGUUACUUUAUUCUUCGGGUUCAAUUAAAAAUCAUCUAUUGAUUGAAUAUAUUUCAAUAUUUAUCGAUGUAGAGCAGGUUAAAUUUUUUUAGUGAUUCAGGUCCCAAUAAUGCUCGCCAUAGUCUCCGUUUUUCGUGCCCCAUCGAACCUAUCAAUCAAAAACACAAUGCAAAUAAAAAUGGCAAUCGAUGUUAAAUAAAAAAACUUGACGCACUCAUUAAAUAUCACUAACUUUCCCUUGAAAUUGAUUAUUCCCGACGUCUUUCUUCUCGAAACGUUGCUCCCACUCGUUAGGAUUUUCGAAAACAUGACCGAAGUGGAAUUCUAAGGGCGCGACGUGCUGUGAUAUUAUAUCUCUGCACAUAAACAAUGAUAAAUCAUUUGAUUAACAAUUUUUGUUGACUUAAGGACAUCAUAGAAAGUCAUUAUUUGAAGUCGGGAUAACAGAAUAAAGAAUAAUGAAUUCAAUUCCCUUUCACUCACUGGAAAAACUGUCCUUUAUGCAAGAUUUCCACAAGUUCAUCGCGAGGUAAUUCCUCUGUGUCUUCACUCUUAAGAAUUUUCAUAUCUGAAAAUAUAAAUUCCUUCAUAUCCCCUUCAGAAUGUCCUGCGCAAUUCGUUUACCUGACUUAUCAUCGUCCAUUUUUAUCACUCGUCCACACAAAACUUUUUCCAAUAACAUGUUCGUCACAAAAAUAACAAAAAACGUCAAGUUCAUAAUCAAAAAUUAAUUGAUUAUAUAUUAUGGAAAGUGGGAAAUAAUUAUUGUUAUUUAAUAACUGUAUUAGCACUUUCAAGGGACGUUCAAUACUAAAUCGACGAUUUGUCUCAAUCAAUACCCGAUCGAAAGUCUUCGGUCGUUACGCUCCACAUUCUCGUGAAAGUGACAACAAAAAAAUUGUUGAUUUUCCAAAUAAAUCGUUUAUUCAAGCAAAUAGUAUAGUAAUUGAACAAUUGACGUUUGUGAUGAAAAGAUUGUCACACAAUAUUAAGUGGCUUCCAUUACACACGAAAUGAUAUGAUAGAAAUAAUUUUUUG